CGGGUGCGGCGCCGGUCUAAGUCCCUUGGAACGGGGCGUCAUAGAGGGUGAGAAUCCCGUAUGUGACCGGCGACCAAGCCCAUGUGAAGCACCUUCGACGAGUCGAGUUGUUUGGGAAUGCAGCUCAAAAUGGGUGGUAAAUUUCAUCUAAAGCUAAAUACCGGCCAGAGACCGAUAGCGCACAAGUAGAGUGAUCGAAAGAUGAAAAGCACUUUGGAAAGAGAGUCAAAAAGUACGUGAAAUUGUUGAAAGGGAAGCGCUUGCAACCAGACCUGUCCGCGGGCGAUCAGCCGUCCUUCUGGGCGGUGCACGCGCCCGCGAUCAGGCCAGCAUCGGUUCGGGCGGCCGGAUAAAGGCCCUGGGAACGUAGCUCCUCUCGGGGAGUGUUAUAGCCCAAGGUGUAAUGCGGCCCGCCGGGACCGAGGACCGCGCUUCGGCUAGGAUGCUGGCGUAAUGGUUGUAAGCGGCCCGUCUUGAAACACGGACCAAGGAGUCUAACAUCUAUGCGAGUGUUUGGGUGUUAAACCCAUGCGCGUAAUGAAAGUGAACGGAGGUGGGAACCCUGAAGGGCGCACCAUCGACCGAUCCAGAUGUCAUCGGAUGGAUUUGAGUACGAGCAUAGCUGUUGGGACC
rnacentral:rRNA from 1 species